GACGAACGCUGGCGGCGUGCUUAACACAUGCAAGUCGAACGGAAAGACCCUGCUUUUGUGGGGUGCUCGAGUGGCGAACGGGUGAGUAACACGUGAGUAACCUGCCCUUGACCUUGGGAUAACUUCAGGAAACUGGGGCUAAUACCGGAUAGGAGCUCCUGCUGCAUGGUGGGGGUUGGAAAGUUUCGGCGGUUGGGGAUGGACUCGCGGCUUAUCAGCUUGUUGGUGGGGUAGUGGCUUACCAAGGCUUUGACGGGUAGCCGGCCUGAGAGGGUGACCGGCCACAUUGGGACUGAGAUACGGCCCAGACUCCUACGGGAGGCAGCAGUGGGGAAUAUUGCACAAUGGGCGGAAGCCUGAUGCAGCAACGCCGCGUGCGGGAUGACGGCCUUCGGGUUGUAAACCGCUUUCGCCUGUGACGAAGCGUGAGUGACGGUAAUGGGUAAAGAAGCACCGGCUAACUACGUG
rnacentral:rRNA from 1 species